rnacentral:rRNA from 1 species
UACGUAGGGUGCGAGCGUUAAUCGGAAUUACUGGGCGUAAAGCGUGCGCAGGCGGUUUUGUAAGCCAGAUGUGAAAUCCCCGGGCUUAACCUGGGAAUGGCAUUUGGGACUGCAAGGCUCGAGUGCGGCAGAGGAGACUGGAAUUCCUGGUGUAGCAGUGAAAUGCGUAGAUAUCAGGAGGAACACCGAUGGCGAAGGCAGCCCCCUGGGCCAAUACUGACGCUCAGGCACGAAAGCGUGGGGAGCAAACAGG